AUUGAACGCUGGCGGCAUGCCUUACACAUGCAAGUCGAACGACAGCACGGGGGGCAACCCCUGGUGGCGAGUGGCGCACGGGUGAGUAACAUAUCGGAACGUACCCUGUAGCGGGGGAUAACCUCUCGAAAGCGAGGCUAAUCACGCAUCCGCUCUACGGAGGAAAGCGGAGGACCGCAAGGCUUCUCACUACAGUAGCCGCCGAUACCGGAUUAGCGAGUUGGCUGGGUAAUAGCCCACCAAGGCUACGAUCCGUAGCUGGUCUGAGAGGACGAUCAGCCACACUGGAGCUGACACACGGUCCAGACUCCUACGGGAGGCAGCAGUGGGGAAUUUUGGACAAUGGGCGCAAGCCUGAUCCAGCCAUGCCGCGUGAGUGAAGAAGGCCUUCGGUUUGUAAAGCUCUUUCGGCGGGGACGAAACGGUUCGUGCUAACACCACGGACUACUGACGGUACCCGAAGAAGAAGCACCGGCUAACUACGUGCCAGCCGCCGCCGUAAGAC
rnacentral:rRNA from 1 species